rnacentral:rRNA from 1 species
AAGUUAAGCCAUGCAUGUCUAAGUAUAAGCAAUUAUACUGCGAAACUGCGAAUGGCUCAUUAAAUCAGUUAUCGUUUAUUUGUUAGUACCUUACUACUUGGAUAACCGUGGUAAUUCUAGAGCUAAUACAUGCUAAAAACCCCGACUCACGGAGGGGUGUAUUUAUUAGAUUAAAAACCAAUGNCCUUCGGGGCUCUUUGGUGAUUCAUAAUAACUUCUCGAAUCGCAUGGCCUUGCGCNGGCGAUGGUUCAUUCAAAUUUCUGCCCUAUCAACUUUCGAUGGCAGGGUCUUGGCCUGCCAUGGUUACAACGGGUAACGGAGGGUUAGGGCUCGACCCCGGAGAAGGAGCCUGAGAAACGGCUACUACAUCCAAGGAAGGCAGCAGGCGCGCAAAUUACCCAAUCCCGAUACGGGGAGGUAGUGACAAUAAAUACUGAUACAGGGCUCUUUUGGGUCUUGUAAUUGGAAUGAGUACAAUUUAAAUCCCUUAACGAGGAACAAUUGGAGGGCAAGUCUGGUGCCAGCAGCCGCGGUAAUUCCAGCUCCAAUAGCGUAUAUUAAAGUUGUUGACGUUAAAAAGCUCGUAGUUGAACCUUGGGCCUGGCUGGCUGGUCCGCCUCACCGCGUGCACUGGUUCGGCCGGGCCUUUCCCUCUGGGGAACCCCAUGCCCUUCACUGGGUGUGGUGGGGAACCAGGACUUUUACUGUGAAAAAAUUAGAGUGUUCAAAGCAGGCCUAUGCUCGAAUACAUCAGCAUGGAAUAAUAGAAUAGGACGUGCGGUUCUAUUUUGUUGGUUUCUAGGACCGCCGUAAUGAUUAAUAGGGACAGUCGGGGGCAUCAGUAUUCAAUUGUCAGAGGUGAAAUUCUUGGAUUUAUUGAAGACUAACUACUGCGAAAGCAUUUGCCAAGGAUGUUUUCAUUAAUCAGGAACGAAAGUUAGGGGAUCGAAGACGAUCAGAUACCGUCGUAGUCUUAACCAUAAACUAUGCCGACUAGGGAUCGGACGAUGUUAUUUUUUGACUCGUUCGGCACCUUACGAGAAAUCAAAGUCUUUGGG